GUCUCUCACUGUUCAAAUAAACCUACCAUUCAAAUUAUAGACUGAUCAUUUCUUUGUCAGUGGGCAAACUUACAAAAUCAGCAGGGGAUCAAAUACUUUCUUCCCUCACUGUAAAUGACCAGCCUGGUCAAAUAAUAAUAAUCACAGUAGUUGUCGAGGGUGCAACAAGUCAGCACCUCAAGAGUAAAUGUCAGUUGGCUUUUCAUAGCCCAUCAUUGAGAGUAUCUCUACCACUCCUGCUGUCUCUAAAGAGUUGAAAACAGCAGGUCUGGAACAGGUAGUACAUCCGGUGAACAGGUCAGGGUUCCAUAGCCGCAGGCAGAACAGUUGAAACUGGAGCAGCAGCAUGGCCAGGUGGACUGGGGACAGCAAGGAGUCAUCAUGCCAGGUAGUCCUGAGGCAUGGUCCUAGGGCUCAGGUCCUCCGAGAGAGAGAAAGAAAGAGAGAAUUAGAGAGAGCAUACUUAAAUUCACAUGGGACACCGGAUAAGACAGGAGAAAUACUCCAGAUAUAACAGACUGACCCUAGCCCCCCGACACAUAAACUACUGCAGCAUAAAUACUGGAGACUGAGACAGGAGGGGUCAAGAGACACUGUGGCCCCAUCCGAUGAUACCCCCGGACAGGGCCAAACAGGUAGGAUAUAACCCCACCCACUUUGCCAAAGCACAGCCCCCACACCACUCGAGGGAUAUCUUCAACCACCAACUUUCCAUCCUGAGACAAGGCCGAGUAUAGCCCACAAAGAUCUCCGCCACGGCACAACCCAAGGGGGGGCGCCAACCCAGACAGGAAGACCACGUCAGUGACUCAACCCACUCAAGUGAUGCACCCACCCCUAGGGAUGGCAUUCUAGCUUUAAAGGGGGUUUAGUCAUAUAUUAACAACAUUUCCUAGAUAACAUGUCUGAUAAUUCAAGGUGAUAAAACAACAUGUAAAACACAAACUUUUUAUUUUCCCCCUUCCUUCCCUUUGACAUACUGUACUUUCCUCAUAAAUAAAGCUACAUACUAAUAGAUUUAUACAAAAGAAACAUCCAAAGGUGGUCUUCUCAAUCAUUACCGUUCUUACCCCAAAGAAUAUUGAGUCAUGUAACAAAAACACACAUAGGGACGAAGGGGAGACUGCUUGUAUUCAGUAUGAAGAUUGUCCAUGGACUGCAUAGGAGCCACUGACCUACUGGACAUUUGGGUGACAAAAGACCAAAGGGGGCAUUAUUUACACACUUUCUACAGGUGUAAACAUGGGGCAAAACACAGCAUCAUGGUUUCAUGUCACGCCAAUGAUAAAGCAGUCGUCUGUUGCUGUGGUCAUUGUUCUGCAGGGACAGGGAAGGGGUGUGGUGGGGUAAGUCAGUGUUGGGGAUGGUGGUGAUGGUGAGGCUCAAGGUCUAGUCAGGGUCAGGGUGGCUUUUGCGGUGGUGAGCGGUCAGGUUGUAAUUCUUCUCAAAGCGCCGGCCGCAGACCUCACAAGGGAACUGGUAACCAGUGUUGCCAACAAAGUUUCAGGGGAAGUUGCAAGAGGCAGGUUGAUUUGUUGCUAAAAGUUGCUAAAUAACGUUGUGAUGUCAUUGCGUGAUGACGUCAUUACGUAAUAACGUAAAACUGCGUCAUUACGUAGAAUACACAAUAACGUUCCUCAAACUGACUGGCCAUCUCGGCAAAAAAUAUGAUUUGACAUUUGUUAGUUUAGAUUUGUUUGUUUAUUAUCAUAUAUUUUUAUUUGUAAAAGUAAUAAACACAUUUUAUAUGAUCACAUUUUUAUUUUUAAACACAACACAUUGAAUUAUUG
rnacentral:lncRNA from 1 species